CUACGUGCCAGCAGCCGCGGUAAUACGUAGGGUGCGAGCGUUAAUCGGAAUUACUGGGCGUAAAGCGAGCGCAGACGGUUACUUAAGCAGGAUGUGAAAUCCCCGGGCUCAACCUGGGAACUGCUUUGGAAACUGUUGUUCUAGAGUGUUGGAGAGGUAAGUGGAAUUCCUGGUGUAGCGGUGAAAUGCGUAGAUAUCAGGAAGAACACCGGAGGCGAAGGCGGCUUACUGGACAAUAACUGACGUUGAGGCUCGAAAGCGUGGGGAUCAAACAGGAUUAGAUACCCUGGUAGUCCACGCUGUAAACGAUGAAUACUAGGUGUCGGGGUGCAAAGCAUCUCGGUGCCGUCGCUAACGCAAUAAGUAUUCCACCUGGGGAGUACGUUCGCAAGAAUGAAACUCAAAGGAAUAGACGGGGACCCGCACAAGCGGUGGAGCAUGUGGUUUAAUUCGAAGAUACGCGAAGAACCUUACCCGGACUUGAUAUC
rnacentral:rRNA from 1 species